rnacentral:snoRNA from 1 species
AAGACCGUACUUACACAGGAUCAUUUCUAUAGUACGUUCAUUUCUACUUGGUUUUCCAAAGUAGACACUCUCAAUAAGCUUGAUGAUCGUAUCGGGUUCCUUCCGUUGACUCGGGAUGUUAGUUCAGUGCAGAUUGGCUCUUGAGCCCUUCUACCUGAGCAUUGAUGAACGUCCACUGUCGCAUUCCAAGGCAGUGUUGAACGAUUGGAACGAUAUGAGAGCU